rnacentral:rRNA from 1 species
UACGAAGGGGGCUAGCGUUGCUCGGAAUCACUGGGCGUAAAGGGUGCGUAGGCGGGUCUUUAAGUCAGGGGUGAAAUCCUGGAGCUCAACUCCAGAACUGCCUUUGAUACUGAAGAUCUCGAGUUCGGGAGAGGUGAGUGGAAUUCCUAGUGUAGAGGUGAAAUUCGUAGAUAUUAGGAAGAACACCGGUGGCGAAGGCGGCCCACUGGCUCGAUACUGACGCUGAGGUGCGAAAGCGUGGGGAGCAAACAGG